UUAUUUAAAAAAAAAUAUUAAAAAUAUAUCUAAAAGUUAGCCCCUCGAUUGCAAUUUUUAAUAUUUUUUCGUCCUUAAUUACUCGUAAAUAUUCAUUUUCGAUUGUUCUUAUAUAAAAUACGUUUGUUCUCUUUCGAAAUUACUCAUUUUUUGUUUAAUUAAUUGUAUUAGUUGAAUAAAUGUAUACAAAAUAUGUGUACUGCGCAUGCCAUAAGUGUAUAAUCUAUGGCGCAUGCGUCAACUAUAAUGCCUAAACUUUCUACGCGGUUUUAUGAAAAAAAAACAAUUAUAAAUCCUGAAGGAUGAAUUAAUUGGUAUACAGUUUAAUUAAAAAAAUUAAAAACAAAAUAAAUAAAAUAAUGUGCAUUCGCGUAAAGUUAGACCAAAUACAUUUUUUCCAUCCUCCUAUAUACCUAUCGCUAUGACGGUAUAAAAAAGAUAGGUUAAGAGUUUAAGAGUUCACAUAGGUAAUAUAAACAAAUAAGUAAAUAUGUUCAUUAUUUAUCUUUCAAGAGAUAAUGUAGGUAUACAUUAUAAUAACAUUUUGACACAGUCGAAAUUAUAUUCCUAACAUUAGUAAAAUAACAUUUUAAUAUUUUUUUUAUAGGUUAUGUAUUGAAAUUGUUGGAAAAUUAUUUCAUGUUUUAGCUGGAAAACUACAUGGAGAAUUAUAUGCAAUACAAGAUAAUGAGCUCCAUCAAAUGAAUUCGAAUGAAACCAAACUGUUUACCAUCCAAAUUCGAUUGUCGGGCAGAUAGAAAACGAAAAUUCACUCAUAGUGAACCUCGGCCUGCAUUUGUGAAACGGCAAAGACUCACUAUUAUCAAGGAAAUUGAAGAGACGACUAAAAAUGAGAUGUGUCGUAUUAUUAUACCUUUGCCAUCUUGUAGUCAAGAUGUCCAGCCACUUGAAAAUAGGUGUAGUAAUGACAAAGCUAUCCAAGUAGCUCCAGCACAGGAACACAAAGGCAAGGCAAGUGUGUAUUGCCACAUCACCCCUUAAUAUAUCUGAAGCAAGUAUAAGUAAACAAUCAGAACCAGCAAAAAAAAAAACUGUUGUUCCUGAGGACAAAUUUGACAGUGAUGAGUCAAAUGCACCAGCAACAGAAGGAUCAACUGUUGACUAUGAGUUAUCUCUCUAUAUCUCCACUCCAUCAAAGACUUGUGCACUUCAGACUAUAGCUCUCAAGAAGACUAAAAAGUUGAAAAAAUGAAUGUGUUAACAACUUUAUCUAAAGUGAAAAAUAAACAACGUUUAUAUAUUGGUCUUCCACAAGAAUUAUGUUUCAUAAUAGGCUUGAUUGAGAAACAUACAAAUGUUUCUGAACAAAAUAUUAUAUUAUGUCUGAUGAGAAUAACAUUAAAUAGAACAUUCUCUCAAUUGGCUGAUGAUUUCGAUUUAUCUGUAAGUCAAGCAAGCAAUAUAUUUUUCAACAAACUCCCAGAAAUUGCAAAUGUAAUAUCACCCCUUGUUAGACUAUAAAAAAAACAAUACAAUAAAUAUAUAUGCAGGAAGGAUAAUUGAUGUCAACUUGGUGGAAAAUAGAAAGUUUUUAGAUAGUUUGCCACCUACAAAACUCUUUAAUUAAAUAAGUAAUCCUUACUUAUAAAUAGGAAGUUUUGUAAGUAUUUUCACUCUUCAUUCAAAAACUACUGAACAGAUUUUAAUAAGACUUUUAUGCUGGUCUUCUAUGGCUAGCAACUCAUUAUUAUUUUGAUUCUGUUUUUCACAAAUGUGCUAAAUAUGGGCUUAUAUAAUAUAUGAAAAGGAAUAAAUAUUAAUGUUAUGUAACCUUUGUACCUGUAUGUUAAGAAUAAUUUUUAAUAAAACAUAAUUUAAAUUGAAA